rnacentral:rRNA from 1 species
GACGAACGCUGGCGGCGUGCUUAACACAUGCAAGUCGAACGGAAAGGCCCUGCUUUUGUGGGGUGCUCGAGUGGCGAACGGGUGAGUAACACGUGAGUAACCUGCCCUUGACUUUGGGAUAACUUCAGGAAACUGGGGCUAAUACCGGAUAGGUGCUCCUGCUGCAUGGUGGGGGUUGGAAAGUUUCGGCGGUUGGGGAUGGACUCGCGGCUUAUCAGCUUGUUGGUGGGGUAGUGGCUUACCAAGGCUUUGACGGGUAGCCGGCCUGAGAGGGUGACCGGCCACAUUGGGACUGAGAUACGGCCCAGAAUCCUACGGGAGGCAGCAGUGGGGAAUAUUGCACAAUGGGCGGAAGCCUGAUGCAGCAACGCAGCGUGCGGGAUGACGGCCUUCGGGUUGUAAACCGCUUUCGCCUGUGACGAAGCGUGAGUGACGGUAAUGGGUAAAGAAGCACCGGCUAACUACGUG